UACGUAGGGCGCAAGCGUUGUCCGGAAUUAUUGGGCGUAAAGAGCUCGUAGGCGGUUUGUCGCGUCUGCUGUGAAAACCUAAGGCUCAACCUUGGGCUUGCAGUGGGUACGGGCAGACUAGAGUGCGGUAGGGGUGACUGGAAUUCCUGGUGUAGCGGUGGAAUGCGCAGAUAUCUGGAGGAACACCGGUGGCGAAGGCGGCAUCCUGGACCGACACUGACACUGAGGAGCGAAAGCCAGGGGAGCAAACGGG
rnacentral:rRNA from 1 species